AUUGAACGCUGGCGGAAUGCUUUACACAUGCAAGUCGAACGGCAGCACGGGGGCAACCCUGGUGGCGAGCGGCGAACGGGUGAGUAAUACAUCGGAACGUGCCCAGUCGUGGGGGAUAACGUAGCGAAAGUUACGCUAAUACCGCAUACGAUCUACGGAUGAAAGCGGGGGACCGUAAGGCCUCGCGCGAUUGGAGCGGCCGAUGUCAGAUUAGGUAGUUGGUGAGGUAAAGGCUCACCAAGCCGACGAUCUGUAGCUGGUCUGAGAGGACGACCAGCCACACUGGGACUGAGACACGGCCCAGAAUCCUACGGGAGGCAGCAGUGGGGAAUUUUGGACAAUGGGCGCAAGCCUGAUCCAGCCAUUCCGCGUGCAGGACGAAGGCCUUCGGGUUGUAAACUGCUUUUGUACGGAACGAAAAGGCUCUGGUUAAUACCUGGGGCUCAUGACGGUACCGUAAGAAUAAGCACCGGCUAACUACGUGCCAGCAGCCGCCGUAA
rnacentral:rRNA from 1 species